AAUCAUAUUACUAAGGACAUUGAUAGUUUACAACUGAUCUGUAAAUUGAUAUACAAUAAUUCAUAUGUCACUUGCAAUUAAAGUUCUAAUUCUAACUACCUCUAUGUCGGAAACUAUCUAAAAAGAUUCAAGUUCUUGAUUGAAAUCUAUCUAAAUCUCAGUAGCUAAUUUAGUACAUCAGCUUCCCGACUUUCACAGCUACAAUGGACACUUCUUCUACAACAAUGUGAAGCCUAUCCUUGCACGUUCCUCUUCUCAGUUAUUUCUCUUAAAAAACCUGUUAUGACCUGUACAGCUAAUUAGUUUUGUCCUUUUAAUCCUGCAAUAAACCAUGUAAGCGUAAUAAUCAGAUAAGGGGAAGGAAAACAAAGGUAAGCGGAGCCGCAUGAUCUUGCAUAAUAAUUAAUAUAAUAUACAUCCAUGCUACUAAUAAUUUAUUGUUUCUGUUAGUAUAUGUUUUUCUACUCUAUAGGUUUAAGAUUUCUUGGAAAAGACUAUGGUUGAAUGGGAAUGACAGAGCAAAGCAGUCUAAGUGAGCAUGAUCUAGAGAUAGUGUAACUUACGUGUCAAACAGAUGACGACUAAAUUGUUCUCAUUAAUCUUUGUCAAGGAAAAUGGUUAGAACUUGAAUAAAACACAAACCUGGUAUAAAUUCAAGAGUGAUCUCUUGACAUAAACAUGUAUUUAUUUCACUUGCAAAACAUCAUCUAUUGAAUGUUUCCCUAAUGGUCAUGUCCUCCAAUAUCUGCAAAUUCCAACAAAACAUUACUUCUUAUCAUAGUGUAGACAAAAUACAAAAUUGACCAGCUACUUUACUAAUAGAAAGAAAUUGCAAUAUUUCCUGGUUACCACAACAAUUUGACAUGAUUAUAAUCUGGUUGUCAUGGCCAAAGAUGGUACAAAGAAACCCUAGUCAACCUAACUUACUAAGUACUGAAUACUUAAUUUUACAUACACUCCGGGAGACAUUCGAACUAUACUUCACUCUUUUGUAUAAAUGUGGCAUUGUUGAAACAGUGCUAGGGAAACAACAGUAUACUUUUUUUUGAAACGCGGUGCCUUAGUAUCUGAUCCAUUAAAGAGGCAGAAAAGAGUUUCCCGGUUAAUUAAUGGAAAUCCGGGCGAAAGCUGUUACAACAUGCCCUUCAAUAGGGUACCAUCAACACACAGACCCUCGGGGUCGCGCAUCCAGCGAGCCGCCCGCUCUAUCACCCAAGCAAUCAAAGCUGACACCCUACAACUAUCUUUGGAGCCACCGCCCGACAUACAGAAGGAAACCUCACACACCGACCCCAAGGCCGCGCACCAGGUGUAUACUUUAACAUGCAUUUGCAUUCCAAAUCAGUCACAGAACUGUAAAUGCUUGCUAUAACCAUUAGCCGGCGUUUCUUUCCUUUUGACAUGCACAAUAAUGUAUGAUGCCAAAUAAUUAAUCAGCCCAUUCAUUAAAAUGAACCAAGAAUAAAAUAGUGGGAAACAAUAUAUAUCGGAUGCUUUCUUUGUUAUGUAUCAGUUGGUGAAGCAUGUUAGUACUACUGCUACUACUAUACGUGGUUGAGGGUUGCAAUCAGCUUCAAGCUCUGCAUAACAUCAGUACGUAAAUGUUGUGAUGUUGAUAGUAAAAACAAAUAUCAAGCCUUCUCGUUCAGGCUACCAGUAACAAAAUUUGCUUAGUAUUGCACAAAUUCCAAAGUAACAAGUGCCUUAACGAAUCAUAUGUAACUUUUAUUAUCUGGAAUAUCAUAUGUGAAUGAUUGGUAUUUAUGCACAAACUCUUUCUUUUGUUUUAGUAAUAAUACAAAUCUCAUAAUUUUUUAUAACCAUUGAGUUGCAGUUAGUGCAGCAUUAUUAUAAUUUUUUUAACUUGCAUAGGAAGUGCUUAGAAAUUCUAAAAGAAGGAAAUAGGAAGCUGACUAAUUGGAUGACCCAGUUGUUAUUUCUAAAAUCAUUUGUGAAUCAAAGUCAAACUACCCAACAUCAAGUCAAAUGUACACUGUCUGUAAACUAUUAUAAGAACAUUUAGAUCACCGGUUAUUUUAAUUUACAAAAGGAGUACAUUUUUCUGUAAGAGAAUAAAAACACAGAAUAGCCCAAGCUUAAUUGCGUCCUUCCUGUCUUAGCCAUAAUGCUCUAUACAGUCCACCUUAUUUUAAGUAAAUAUAAUAAAAUCCGCUGCAUAUUUGAUUUGUUUAUGCAUUAGGUCCUCCAUGACCUGUAGAAAAACAUGAAUCCAUCCUUCAUUCUGACAGAUAACAGGUGAAUUACUCCAACACCCAGAGUUAUAGGUCUCUUAUGGACCGCUCAUAGCAGUUGUACAUAUCAAGAAUGGUGCCACAUAUUUUAGGGAAGAGAUGAACAGAGAAUAAAUAAAUUUAAGGAAAGGAGGAUCGUGGAAUACUAGGUGCCUUCCAUGGGAGGAUAUGGAUUCAUGGCUGCACCUCCCGUGAUGCCUAUGCUUUAAGCCUGUCGGCGGAGGAGGGAGUCGAGGUCGGGCUGCAAGGUAGUGACAUCAGCCGGAUCGAAUACGUAGAGGAAUAUUGGGUUGCUCACGAGUGUGGGAAGCAGCAACGUCGGAACUCGGAAGUAAGCCGACCUAGCCGUCGUCGAACCGCAGAAGCACCCGAUCUGGGGACUGCAAGGGAUACGGUAGUUGGUGUAACAAUAACACCGUGGGGGUAGGGUUCCUUAGUGGGUUGGGCCAAACGAAU
rnacentral:lncRNA from 1 species